GGAGCUUGCUCCCUUAGGUCAGCGGCGGACGGGUGAGUAACACGUGGUUAACCUGCCUGUAAGACUGGGAUAACUCCGGGAAACCGGGGCUAAUACCGGAUGCUUGAUUGAACCGCAUGGUUCAAUCAUAAAAGGUGGCUUUCAGCUACCACUUACAGAUGGACCCGCGGCGCAUUAGCUAGUUGGUGAGGUAACGGCUCACCAAGGCGACGAUGCGUAGCCGACCUGAGAGGGUGAUCGGCCACACUGGGACUGAGACACGGCCCAGACUCCUACGGGAGGCAGCAGUAGGGAAUCUUCCGCAAUGGACGAAAGUCUGACGGAGCAACGCCGCGUGAGUGAUGAAGGUUUUCGGAUCGUAAAACUCUGUUGUUAGGGAAGAACAAGUACCGUUCGAAUAGGGCGGCACCUUGACGGUACCUAACCAGAAAGCCACGGCUAACUACGUGCCAGCAGCCCGCGGUAAUACGUAGGUGGCAAGCGUUGCCGGAAUUAUUGGGCCUUAAAGCCCCCCCAGGCCGGUUCUUAAAGCUUGAUGUGAAAGCCCCCGGUUCAACCGGGGAGGGGUCAUUUGGAAACUGGGGAACUUGAGUGCAGAAGAGGAGAGUGGAAUUCCACGUGUAGCGGUGAAAUGCGUAGAGAUGUGGAGGAACACCAGUGGCGAAGGCGACUCUCUGGUCUGUAACUGACGCUGAGGCCCGAAAGCGUGGGGAGCGAACAGGAUUAGAUACCCUGGUAGUCCACCCGUAACGAUAGUGCUAGUGUUAAGGGUUCCCGCCUUUAAGUGUUGCAAGCAAACGCAUUAAGCAUUCGGCUUGGGAAGUCGGUUGCAAGCUUGAACUCAAGGAAUUGACGGGGGCCGGCACAAGCGGUGAAGCAUGUGGUUUAAUUCGAAGCACGCGAAGACCCUUACCAGGUCUUGACAUCCUCUGACAACCCUAGAGAUAGGGCUUUCCCCUUCGGGGGCAGAGUGACAGGUGGUGCAUGGUUGUCGUCAGCUCGUGUCGUGAGAUGUUGGGUUAAGUCCCGCAACGAGCGCAACCCUUGAUCUUAGUUGCCAGCAUUCAGUUGGGCACUCUAAGGUGACUGCCGGUGACAAACCGGAGGAAGGUGGGGAUGACGUCAAAUCAUCAUGCCCCUUAUGACCUGGGCUACACACGUGCUACAAUGGGCAGAACAAAGGGCAGCGAAGCCGCGAGGCUAAGCCAAUCCCACAAAUCUGUUCUCAGUUCGGAUCGCAGUCUGCAACUCGACUGCGUGAAGCUGGAA
rnacentral:rRNA from 1 species